UACGUAGGGGGCAAGCGUUGUCCGGAAUUAUUGGGCGUAAAGAGCUCGUAGGCGGUCUGUCGCGUCUGCUGUGAAACUCAGGGCUUAACCCUGAGCUUGCAGUGGGUACGGGCAGACUAGAGUGCGGUAGGGGAGACUGGAAUUCCUGGUGUAGCGGUGAAAUGCGCAGAUAUCAGGAGGAACACCGGUGGCGAAGGCGGGUCUCUGGGCCGUAACUGACGCUGAGGAGCGAAAGCAUGGGGAGCGAACAGG
rnacentral:rRNA from 1 species